rnacentral:tRNA from 1 species
GCCUGGGUGGCUCAGCGGGUUAAGCAUCUGACUUUGGCUCAGGUCAUAACCUCAGGAUUUGUGAGUUCAAUCCCCGCCUCUGGCU